UACGAAGGGGGCUAGCGUUGCUCGGAAUCACUGGGCGUAAAGGGUGCGUAGGCGGGUCUUUAAGUCAGGGGUGAAAUCCUGGAGCUCAACUCCAGAACUGCCUUUGAUACUGAAGAUCUUGAGUUCGGGAGAGGUGAGUGGAACUGCGAGUGUAGAGGUGAAAUUCGUAGAUAUUCGGAAGAACACCAGUGGCGAAGGCGACUCACUGGACAUGUAUUGACGCUGAGGUGCGAAAGCGUGGGGAGCAAA
rnacentral:rRNA from 1 species